rnacentral:tRNA from 1 species
GCCGGAGUGGUGGAAUUGGUAGACACGCAGGUUUUAGGUACCUGUGCCUUCGGGCAUGGGGGUUCGAGUCCCCCCUUCGGCA